GGCUCAGAAACCCUUUGCAGGUGUUAUGGCUUACUUAGCUGAUUAGAGUGGGACACUGUGAGCCUAGAAUAUUGCACCUUUUCCCAAUAUUCUAAUUUACUGAGAUGUGGAUUUGGGGUUUUCAUGAGCUGUAAGCCAUAAUCAUCGCAUUUUUGACAAAUCACAGCUUGAACUAUCUUGCUUUGCAUGUAAUGCGUAUAUCUC